AUGGCUUCCUUAAGCCACUCAAUUGGUCUCAUGUUCGGUCCUCCUCUUUUCCUGAUGCUGACAAUUUUCCCCAGCAUUAUUAUUUUUCUAGCAAGUCUUUGCCUCCAACAGUGUGCCCAGAGUUCAGAAGCCUCGGUUUUAUCAUUUUUUUUCUUUUUGUUGUUCUGUUGUGAUGUAAGUGGGUGGGGUGUUACAAGCACAACGUGGAGAAUACACUAUCCACCGCCCGCCACGCCACUUCAGGGAUCACGUCUCCAAUCAAAAUCAGAACUCUUCUGCAAGUCCUUUAAAAUAAAUUGCAGCAGCAAGAGAGAAACUAUUCUAAAAUCAAUGGAAACCUUUUUUUUUUGAGACCUCAAGAGUAAACUUCCCUCAUCUUUUGAAGGCAGAAGAUGGUGGAAAGGCUACAGCCUAGACUUCUUCCUUGCUAACGAGUCGAUAGCCCACCAGUGUGUGAAGUCCAUCUGUACCCCAAGGCCAAAGACACAGCCGUGGUCCAUCACGUGUACCAACUCACGGUGCCAGUCCGACCACCAAGAGUGUAUCGUUCUGCAAGAGACGUACAUUUUGAAUAGCCAACGGGCAGAAUUCAGCACAGCACUGGAGUGAAUUUUAUUGAACAUCAGCCUGGCCCCAGAGGCAAUGGAAGGCUCACCUCCCAGGAUCUGCGGUUCACAUAAUUUACAUCUGACUCUCUUCUGGUUUCAUUUCAUUGGUUUCAAUGUUUCUGCUCCAGCGCAGUCAAAUCUCUUGCAAGAUUCACAGAUACGACCUACAAUUUAGAACAGUGUCUUUCACAGUUCAGUACACUAGAAAGACCAACAAGUGGGUCCUGGAUGAACUCUCUUGAGUAGUGGUUCUCAACCUUGGGUCCCCAGAUGUUCUUGGACUACAACUCCCAGAAGUCUUCACCAUUCCAUGGCUAAAUGGUUUUCACCACUAGAAAGCUCUUUCUAAUGUUUAGUCAAAUUCUCCUUUCUUGUGACUUAAAUCUCUUACUUCCAGCCUUCAUCACUUGAGCAGCUCCAUCCUUCUUGAGGCAUCCUUUCGACUACUUGAAAAAGGCGUCCAGAUCGCCUUUCUGCCUUCUCUGCUCCCCGCUAAACAUGCCAGGUUCCCUCAACCGUUCCUUGCAGAGCCUGGUUUCCAAACGUCUUGCCAUUUUUGCUCUCUGAACAUUAGUAAGAUCAGAGCCGGUGUGGAGCAGCGGACUUCACGUUGAGAGAGCUGUGUUCAAAUCUCCACGAAAACACACACGGGAUGAUCUCGGAGCUGUCACGCUUUCCCAGACUGGCCUGGGUUUCAGGUUAAUGGUUAGGAUGAAGUUGGGAGGAGAUGACGACUCCUGCAUACUGCCUUGAGUUAAUUAGAUGAGAGGCAGGAAGACAAUGUAACUCAUAGAUACAUUAAAUAAAUCAGGGGAAAAGUAAGAAAAAUGAAUGGAU
rnacentral:lncRNA from 1 species